rnacentral:lncRNA from 1 species
GACUACGAAUUGUUUGUUUACUGCAUUUCAGUACCAUAACGUAAAAUAACAUACGUUUUCGAAGAAGUUGAUAACGUUUGCUUUGCUAUAGAGUUUUGUUCAAUAGUGUGAAUUAAUUCAAGACCAAUUUUAAUAAUAUGAAAAAAGUUAUCUUCAAGCCAUGAACACACCACCUUGCAGCAGGAAAGCAUUUGUUGAGCAGAGAUUUAUUGUGUGUUGCCAAGACUAGAAUUCAGUGGGAGCUUGUUAGCGUGAACCAGGUGAAUGAUGCUCAGACGGAUUUGUUAGAAGCUUGCCAAGUAUAUAAAUGAAGCAGAUGUAUUGUGCCAAACCAAGGCUGUUACACAGAAUUGUUGAGCCUUGAAAUGAAUUGUGGGAAAUCAAGACUGAUCUGUUUGAACUCUGUUAAGUAUACCGGUACUUGAAGCUUAGCAAAUUCAGAUUUUGAGAUAAAGCAAGUGAACCUUGGAAAGUCAAACUUUUUGAUAUAGAAUUGUGAGAAAUAAAGACUGAUUUGUUUGAACCUAAAGCUCACAAUAGCCAAAUCUGAUGUACAAUAUGGAGAUGAAGCAGAUGGAUUGUGGGAUGUCUACACUGCAAUAAACAUUUAUGGUGCAUCCAUAAAAUGGAUGGUUAGUGAUAUAUUAAGUAACUUAGUGUAAGUCCGAUUCUGAACUUAGUUUAAAUGUUGGUCUUCUUCUGGACUUAAUUUAUAAUCUUGAUGCAUUCUGGACUUGGUGUAAAAUGUAAGUCCUGUUCUGGACUUGGUUUAUAAUGUUGGUCCAUUCUGGACAUAGUGUAAAAUGUAGGUCCUAUAUUCUCUUCAGGACUUUAGUGUAAAAUAUUGGUCCUCUACUGGACUUGUAUAGUUUAUAAUCAUUGUCCUCUUCAGGACUUAGUGUAAAAUGUUGGUCCUCUUCUGGACUUAAUUUAUAAUCUUGAUGCAUUCUGGACUUAGUGUAAAAUGUAGGUCUUAUUCUGGACUUAGUUUAAAUGUUGGUCCUCUUCUGGACUUAGUUUAUAAUCAGUUUAUAAUCAUUGUCCUCUUCAGGACUUAGUGUAAAAUGUUGGUCCUCUUCUGGACUUAAUUUAUAAACUUGAUGCAUUCUGGACUUGGUGUAAAAUGUAGGUCCUAUUCUGUACUUAGUGUAAAAUGUAGGUCCUCUUCAGGACUUAGUGUAACAUGUUGGUCCUCUUCUGGACUUAAUUUAUAAACUUGAUGCAUUCUGGACUUGGUGUAAAAUGUAGGUCCUAUUCUGUACUUAGUGUAAAAUGUAGGUCCUCUUCAGGACUUAGUGUAAAAUGUUGGUCCUCUUCUGGACUUAAUUUAUAAACUUGAUGCAUUCUGGACUUGGUGUAAAAUGUAGGUCCUAUUCUGUACUUAGUGUAAAAUGUAGGUCCUCUUCUGGACUUAGUGUAAAAUGUUGGUCCUCUUCUGGACUUAAUUUAUAAUCCUGAUGCAUUCUGGACUUGGUGUAAAAUGUAGGUCCUAUUCUGUACUUAGUGUAAAAUGUAGGUCCUCUUCUGGACUUAGUGUAAAAUGUUGGUCCUCUUCUGGACUUAAUUUAUAAUCUUGAUGCAUUCUGGACUUAGUGUAAAAUGUAGGUCCUAUUCUGGACUUGGUGUAAAAUGUAGGUCUUAUUCUGGACUUGGUGUAAAAUGUAGGUCCUCUUCUGGACUUAGUUUAUAAUCAUUGUCCUCUUCAGGACUUAGUGUAAAAUGUUGGUCCUCUUCUGGACUUAAUUUAUAAUCUUGAUGCAUUCUGGACUUAGUGUAAAAUGUAGG